rnacentral:lncRNA from 1 species
UUAUUUCCUCCCUUGGUAGUCCUUUGAGGCUGAGAAUGUAGAGGCUCGCAGUUCAUAAAAUGAUGCAGUGAGGACAAGAGGCAAAGGAGGAGAGCUGCAUAUGCUGUAAGGAGGAACAACAAGAGGGCAUUAUGGGUUGGGGCUGGAAUCAAGUCAAUGGACUCAGAAAAACAAAUGUUGAAGCAAAGAUGGAACUGAAGAUGCCCCUGGUUGUGACUGCCUCUGUGAGUCUGCCUAAUAUUAGCCCCAUGAGCAAUAUCGCUGUUUCCUUGGGAAUCACAUGUUUUCUCAGUGUGGACUACAGCCAGAACAGCCAUUCCUAUGUAAUCAUGUGGACAUGCUCGAGAAAAACAAUAAUGAACAUCCUUGCCUCAGUAGACAGAAGAUGAAAAGCUGUGGAUUCUUUCCAGACUAACAUGGUUUCAUCAAGCAAGAGCCCUUGAAGCAAUGGCCAGGUGAUCCAACAUUGAAGACACCUGGGACAAUGCAGUCUCAGACUACUACAGCCAAGAUACAGCCAGGUUUCACUUUUCUCAUGAUCCCAUGGACCUGACAACAUCCCCUAACAGCAGGAAGUAGUUUGGAGAGAAUGACCCACAAAUUCCCAAAUAUUUUUUAUAAAUGUUUGUUUUUAUUUAAAUGUGGAU